rnacentral:rRNA from 1 species
AUACGUAGGGGGCGAGCGUUGUCCGGAAUGAUUGGGCGUAAAGGGCGCGUAGGCGGCGCGGUAAGUCUGGAGUGAAAGUCCUGCUUUCAAGGUGGGAAUUGCUUUGGAUACUGCCGCGCUUGAGUGCAGGAGAGGUUAUCGGAAUUCCCGGUGUAGCGGUGAAAUGCGUAGAGAUCGGGAGGAACACCAGUGGCGAAGGCGGGUAACUGGACUGCAACGGACGCUGAGGCGCGAAAGUGUGGGGAGCAAACAGGAUUAGAUACCCUGGUAGUCCACACUGUAAACGAUGAAUGCUAGGUGUAAGAGGUAUCGACCCCUUUUGUGCCGGAGUCAACACAAUAAGCAUUCCGCCUGGGGAGUACGGCCGCAAGGUUGAAACUCAAAGGAAUUGACGGGG